AUGUAUCUCUGUAGUUUUAUAGCAUCUACCUGUACUAUUAGUUCAUGUAUCUCUGUAGUUUUUAUAGCAUCUACCUGUACUAUUAGUUCAUGUAUCUCUGUAGUUUUUAUAGCAUCUACCUGUACUAUUAGUUCAUGUAUCUCUGUAGUUUUUAUAGCAUCUACCUGUACUAUUAGUUCAUGUAUCUCUGUAGUUUUUAUAGCAUCUACCUGUACUAUUAGUUCAUGUAUCUCUGUAGUUUUUAUAGCAUCUACCUGUACUAUUAGUUCAUGUAUCUCUGUAGUUUUUAUAGCAUCUACCUGUACUAUUAGUUCAUGUAUCUCUGUAGUUUUUAUAGCAUCUACCUGUACUAUUAGUUCAUGUAUCUCUGUAGUUUUUAUAGCAUCUACCUGUACUAUUAGUUCAUGUAUCUCUGUAGUUUUUAUAGCAUCUACCUGUACUAUUAGUUCAUGUAUCUCUGUAGUUUUUAUAGCAUCUACCUGUACUAUUAGUUCAUGUAUCUCUGUAGUUUUUAUAGCAUCUACCUGUACUAUUAGUUCAUGUAUCUCUGUAGUUUUUAUAGCAUCUACCUGUACUAUUAGUUCAUGUAUCUCUGUAGUUUUUAUAGCAUCUACCUGUACUAUUAGUUCAUGUAUCUCUGUAGUUUUUAUAGCAUCUACCUGUACUAUUAGUUCAUGUAUCUCUGUAGUUUUUAUAGCAUCUACCUGUACUAUUAGUUCAUGUAUCUCUGUAGUUUUUAUAGCAUCUACCUGUACUAUUAGUUCAUGUAUCUCUGUAGUUUUUAUAGCAUCUACCUGUACUAUUAGUUCAUGUAUCUCUGUAGUUUUUAUAGCAUCUACCUGUACUAUUAGUUCAUGUAUCUCUGUAGUUUUUAUAGCAUCUACCUGUACUAUUAGUUCAUGUAUCUCUGUAGUUUUUAUAGCAUCUACCUGUACUAUUAGUUCAUGUAUCUCUGUAGUUUUUAUAGCAUCUACCUGUACUAUUAGUUCAUGUAUCUCUGUAGUUUUUAUAGCAUCUACCUGUACUAUUAGUUCAUGUAUCUCUGUAGUUUUUAUAGCAUCUACCUGUACUAUUAGUUCAUGUAUCUCUGUAGUUUUUAUAGCAUCUACCUGUACUAUUAGUUCAUGUAUCUCUGUAGUUUUUAUAGCAUCUACCUGUACUAUUAGUUCAUGUAUCUCUGUAGUUUUUAUAGCAUCUACCUGUACUAUUAGUUCAUGUAUCUCUGUAGUUUUUAUAGCAUCUACCUGUACUAUUAGUUCAUGUAUCUCUGUAGUUUUUAUAGCAUCUACCUGUACUAUUAGUUCAUGUAUCUCUGUAGUUUUUAUAGCAUCUACCUGUACUAUUAGUUCAUGUAUCUCUGUAGUUUUUAUAGCAUCUACCUGUACUAUUAGUUCAUGUAUCUCUGUAGUUUUUAUAGCAUCUACCUGUACUAUUAGUUCAUGUAUCUCUGUAGUUUUUAUAGCAUCUACCUGUACUAUUAGUUCAUGUAUCUCUGUAGUUUUUAUAGCAUCUACCUGUACUAUUAGUUCAUGUAUCUCUGUAGUUUUAUAG
ensembl:lncRNA